ACUUAUAGAUGGAUCCGCGCUGCAUUAGCUAGUUGGUAAGGUAACGGCUUACCAAGGCAACGAUGCAUAGCCGACCUGAGAGGGUGAUCGGCCACACUGGAACUGAGACACGGUCCAGACUCCUACGGGAGGCAGCAGUAGGGAAUCUUCCGCAAUGGGCGAAAGCCUGACGGAGCAACGCCGCGUGAGUGAUGAAGGUCUUCGGAUCGUAAAACUCUGUUAUUAGGGAAGAACAUAUGUGUAAGUAACUGUGCACAUCUUGACGGUACCUAAUCAGAAAGCCACGGCUAACUACGUGCCAGCAGCCGCGGUAAUACGUAGGUGGCAAGCGUUAUCCGGAAUUAUUGGGCGUAAAGCGCGCGUAGGCGGUUUUUUAAGUCUGAUGUGAAAGCCCACGGCUCAACCGUGGAGGGUCAUUGGAAACUGGAAAACUUGAGUGCAGAAGAGGAAAGUGGAAUUCCAUGUGUAGCGGUGAAAUGCGCAGAGAUAUGGAGGAACACCAGUGGCGAAGGCGACUUUCUGGUCUGUAACUGACGCUGAUGUGCGAAAGCGUGGGGAUCAAACAGGAUUAGAUACCCUGGUAGUCCACGCCGUAAACGAUGAGUGCUAAGUGUUAGGGGGUUUCCGCCCCUUAGUGCUGCAGCUAACGCAUUAAGCACUCCGCCUGGGGAGUACGACCGCAAGGUUGAAACUCAAAGGAAUUGACGGGGACCCGCACAAGCGGUGGAGCAUGUGGUUUAAUUCGAAGCAACGCGAAGAACCUUACCAAAUCUUGACAUCCUUUGACAACUCUAGAGAUAGAGCCUUCCCCUUCGGGGGACAAAGUGACAGGUGGUGCAUGGUUGUCGUCAGCUCGUGUCGUGAGAUGUUGGGUUAAGUCCCGCAACGAGCGCAACCCUUAAGCUUAGUUGCCAUCAUUAAGUUGGGCACUCUAAGUUGACUGCCGGUGACAAACCGGAGGAAGGUGGGGAUGACGUCAAAUCAUCAUGCCCCUUAUGAUUUGGGCUACACACGUGCUACAAUGGACAAUACAAAGGGCAGCGAAACCGCGAGGUCAAGCAAAUCCCAUAAAGUUGUUCUCAGUUCGGAUUGUAGUCUGCAACUCGACUACAUGAAGCUGGAAUCGCUAGUAAUCGUAGAUCAGCAUGCUACGGUGAAUACGUUCCCGGGUCUUGUACACACCGCCCGUCACACCACGAGAGUUUGUAACACCCGAAGCCGGUGGAGUAACCUUUUAGGAGCUAGCCGUCGAAGGUGGGACAAAUGAUUGGGGUGAAGUCGUAACAAGGUAGCCGUAUCGGAAGGUGCGGCUGGAUCACCU
rnacentral:rRNA from 1 species